rnacentral:rRNA from 1 species
GUAGGGAAUAUUGCGCAAUGGGGGAAACCCUGACGCAGCGACGCCGCGUGAGUGAUGAAGGCCUUCGGGUCGUAAAGCUCUGUUGCAGGGGAAUAAAAAAAUGAAGGUUCCCUGUGAGGAAGGAUCGGCUAACUUCGUGCCAGCAGCCGCGGUAAGACGAGGGAUCCUAGCGUUGCUCGGAAUCAUUGGGCGUAAAGAGGGCGUAGGUGGCUUGGUAAGUCAGGUGUGAAAGCCCAGGGCUCAAACCUGGAAGUGCAUUUGAUACUGCUGAGCUUGAGUGUCGGAGAGGUUACCGGAAUACCUGGUGUAGUGGUGAAAUACGUAGAUAUCAGGUGGAACACCGGAGGCGAAGGCGGGUAACUGGACGAACACUGACACUGAGGCCCGAAAGCGUGGGGAUCAAACAGGAUUAGAAACCCUGGUAGUCC